rnacentral:rRNA from 1 species
UACAGAGGUCCCGAGCGUUGUUCGGAUUCAUUGGGCGUAAAGGGUUCGUAGGCGGCCUUGUAAGUGAGAUGUGAAAUCCCUCGGCUCAACCGAGGAAGUGCAUUUCAUACUGCAAGGCUUGAGGGAGACAGAGGUAAGCGGAACUGAUGGUGGAGCGGUGAAAUGCGUUGAUAUCAUCAGGAACACCGGUGGCGAAAGCGGCUUACUGGGUCUCUUCUGACGCUGAGGAACGAAAGCUAGGGGAGCGAACGGG